rnacentral:rRNA from 1 species
UAAGGAAUAUUGGUCAAUGGGCGCAAGCCUGAACCAGCCAUGCCGCGUGAAGGAAGAAGGCCCUAUGGGUUGUAAACUUCUUUUGUACGGGAAAAAACCUCUGGUCGAGCAUCAGAGCUGAUGGUACCGUAAGAAUAAGCAUCGGCUAACUCCGUGCCAGCAGCCGCGGUAAUACGGAGGAUGCAAGCGUUAUCCGGAUGCAUUGGGUUUAAAGGGUGCGCAGGCGGAGGGAUAAGUCAGUGGUGAAAGCCUACAGCUUAACUGUAGAACUGCCAUUGAUACUGUCAUUCUUGAGUAUUGUUGAGGUAGGCGGAAUGUGUCAUGUAGCGGUGAAAUGCUUAGAUAUGACACAGAACACCGAUCGCGAAGGCAGCUUACCAAGCAAUAACUGACGCUCAUGCACGAAAGCGUGGGGAUCAAACA